rnacentral:rRNA from 1 species
UUGUCUCAAAGAUUAAGCCAUGCAUGUCUCAGUACAAGCCGAAUUAAGGUGAAACCGCGAAAGGCUCAUUAAAUCAGUUAUGGUUCCUUAGAUCGUACCCACAUUUACUUGGAUAACUGUGGUAAUUCUAGAGCUAAUACAUGCAAACAGAGCUCCGACCGGAGACGGAAGGAGUGCUUUUAUUAGAUCAAAGCCAAUCGGCGGCGGGCGCGUCCGCGCGUCCGUUCGCCGCUCAACCUGGUGACUCUGAAUAACUUUAGGCUGAUCGCACGGUCUCGCACCGGCGACGCAUCUUUCAAAUGUCUGCCUUAUCAACUGUCGAUGGUAGGUUCUGCGCCUACCAUGGUCGUAACGGGUAACGGGGAAUCAGGGUUCGAUUCCGGAGAGGGAGCCUGAGAAACGGCUACCACAUCCAAGGAAGGCAGCAGGCGCGCAAAUUACCCACUCCCGGCACGGGGAGGUAGUGACGAAAAAUAACGAUACGGGACUCAUCCGAGGCCCCGUAAUCGGAAUGAGUACACUUUAAAUCCUUUAACGAGGAUCAAUUGGAGGGCAAGUCUGGUGCCAGCAGCCGCGGUAAUUCCAGCUCCAAUAGCGUA